UACGGGGGGGGUAAGCGUUGUUCGGAAUUACUGGGCGUAAAGGGCUCGUAGGCGGCCAACUAAGUCAUACGUGAAAUCCCUCAGCUUAACCGGGGAACUGCGUCUGAUACUGGAUGGCUGGAGUGUGGGAGAGGGAUGCGGAAUUCCAGGUGUAGCGGUGAAAUGCGUAGAUAUCUGGAGGAACACCGGUGGCGAAGGCGGCAUCCUGGACCAUUACUGACACUGAAAAGCGAAAGCCAGGGGAGCAAACGGG
rnacentral:rRNA from 1 species